rnacentral:rRNA from 1 species
UGCUCGAGUGGCGAACGGGUGAGUAACACGUGAGUAACCUGCCCUUGACUUUGGGAUAACUUCAGGAAACUGGGGCUAAUACCGGAUAGGAGCUCCUGCUGCAUGGUGGGGUUGGAAAGUUUCGGCGGUUGGGGAUGGACUCGCGGCUUAUCAGCUUGUUGGUGGGGUAGUGGCUUACCAAGGCUUUGACGGGUAGCCGGCCUGAGAGGGUGACCGGCCACAUUGGGGCUGAGAUACGGCCCAG